rnacentral:misc_RNA from 1 species
UCGCCGAGCUCGUCCCCGUCC